GAAAUUUUUUUCUUUUAAAAAUUUUUAUAAUAACGAAAGAAAAAUAUAAAAAAUAACAUUACAAAACAAAUAAUCAUUCUAGAAUCUAUUCACUUAUUUAUG